GUUGAACGCUGGCGGCAUGCUUUACACAUGCAAGUCGAACGGUAACAGGCCGCAAGGUGCUGACGAGUGGCGAACGGGUGAGUAAUGCAUCGGAACGUGCCCAGUCGUUGGGGAUAACGCAGCGAAAGCUGUGCUAAUUCCGCCUACGAUCUAUGGAUGAAAUCGGGGGACCGUAAGGCCUCGCGCGAUUGGAUCGGCCGAAGUCAGAUUAGGUCGUUGGUGGGGUAAAGGCCUACCAAGCCGACGAUCUGUAGCUGGUCUGAGAGGACGACCAGCCACACUGGGACUGAGACACGGCCCAGACUCCUACGGGAGGCAGCAGUGGGGAAUUUUGGACAAUGGGCGCAAGCCUGAUCCAGCAAUGCCGCGUGCAGGAAGAAGGCCUUCGGGUUGUAAACUGCUUUUGUACGGAACGAAACGGUCUGGGUUAAUACCCUGGGCUAAUGACGGUACCGUAAGAAUAAGCACCGGCUAACUACGUACCAGCCGCCGCGGUAAAAC
rnacentral:rRNA from 1 species